rnacentral:rRNA from 1 species
GGGCCCGCACAAGCGGAGGAACAUGUGGUUUAAUUCGAUGAUACGCGAGGAACCUUACCCGGGCUCGAACGGCAUUUGAAUGAUGGGGAAACUUAUCAGCUAUUUAUAGCAGAUGUCGAGGUGCUGCAUGGUUGUCGUCAGCUCGUGCCGUGAGGUGUCGGCUUAAGUGCCAUAACGAGCGCAACCCUUACUGUUAGUUACCAUCAGGUAAAGCUGGGGACUCUAGCGGGACUGCCACCGUAAGGUGAGAGGAAGGUGGGGAUGACGUCAAAUCAGCACGGCCCUUACGUCCGGGGCGACACACGUGUUACAAUGGAUGGGACAGCAGGCAGCUACACAGCGAUGUGAUGCGAAUCUUAGUAAACCCAUUCUCAGUUCGGAUCGGAGUCUGCAACUCGACUCCGUGAAGCUGGAUUCGCUAGUAAUCGCGCAUCAGCCAUGGCG